CCUACGGGUGGCAGCAGUGGGGAAUAUUGGGCAAUGGGCGCAAGCCUGACCCAGCAACGCCGCGUGAAGGAAGAAGGCUUUCGGGUUGUAAACUUCUUUUCUCAGGGACGAAGCAAGUGACGGUACCUGAGGCAUGAGCCACGGCUAACUACGUGCCAGCAGCCGCGGUAAUACGUAGGUGGCAAGCGUUAUCCGGAUUUACUGGGUGUAAAGGGCGUGUGGGCGGGAAAUUAAGUCAGAUGUGAAAACCAUGGGCUCAACCUGUGGCCUGCAUUUGAAACUGUUUUUCUUGAGUACUGGAGAGGAAGACGGAAUUCCUAGUGUAGCGGUGAAAUGCGGAGAUAUUAGGAGGAACACCAGUGGCGAAGGCGGUCUGCUGGACAGCAACUGACGCUGAGGUGCGAAAGCGUGGGGAGCAAACAGGAUUAGAUACCCUUGUAGUC
rnacentral:rRNA from 1 species